rnacentral:rRNA from 1 species
CACGUAGGGGGCAAGCGUUGUCCGGAUUUAUUGGGCGUAAAGAGCUCGUAGGCGGCUCAGUAAGUCGGGUGUGAAACCUCCAGGCUCAACCUGGAGACGCCACCCGAUACUGCUGUGGCUUGAGUCCGGUAGGGGAGCGUGGAAUUCCUGGUGUAGCGGUGAAAUGCGCAGAUAUCAGGAGGAAUACCGAUGGCGAAGGCAGGUCUCUGGGCUGACACUGACGCUCAUGCACGAAAGCGUGGGGAGCAAACAGG